GAUGAACGCUAGCGGCAGGCUAAUACAUGCAAGUCGAGGGGCAGCGGGGGUAGCAAUACCUGCCGGCGACCGGCAAACGGGUGCGGAACACGUACACAACCUUCCUUUAAGUGGGGGAUAGCCCAGAGAAAUUUGGAUUAAUACCCCGUAACACUAUUUGGUGGCAUCAUUGAAUAAUUAAAGCUUCGGCGCUUGAAGAUGGGUGUGCGUCUGAUUAGGUAGUUGGUAGGGGUAACGGCCCACCAAGCCAGCGAUCAGUAACUGGUGUGAGAGCACGACCAGUCACACGGGCACUGAGACACGGGCCCGACUCCUACGGGAGGCAGCAGUAAGGAAUAUUGGUCAAUGGACGCAAGUCUGAACCAGCCAUGCCGCGUGGAGGAUGAAGGUCCUCUGGAUUGUAAACUUCUUUUAUCUGGGAAGAAAUGCAUUUUUUCUAAAGUGUUUGACGGUACCAGAUGAAUAAGCACCGGCUAACUCCGUGCCAGCAGCCGCGGUAAUACGGAGGGUGCAAGCGUUAUCCGGAUUCACUGGGUUUAAAGGGUGCGUAGGUGGGCAGUUAAGUCAGUGGUGAAAUCUCCGGGCUCAACCCGGAAACUGCCAUUGAUACUAUUUGUCUUGAAUAUCGUGGAGGUAAGCGGAAUAUGUCAUGUAGCGGUGAAAUGCUUAGAUAUGACAUAGAACACCAAUUGCGAAGGCAGCUUGCUACCCGAAUAUUGACASUGAGGCACGAAAGCGUGGGGAUCAAACAGGAUUAGAUACCCUGGUAGUCCACGCCCUAAACGAUGGAUACUCGACAUACGCGAUACACAGUGUGUGUCUGAGCGAAAGCAUUAAGUAUCCCACCUGRGAAGUACGACCGCANNGUUGAAACUCAAAGGGANUUGACGGGGGUC
rnacentral:rRNA from 1 species